rnacentral:rRNA from 1 species
CCCUUAGAUGUUCUGGGCCGCACGCGUGCUACACUGAGUGGAUCAGCGGGUCAGGUUGCGCGAAAGCGUUUCCUAAUCUUUAAAUCCGCUCGUGAUGGGGAUUGACGGUUGCAAUUUUCUGUCAUGAACGAGGAAUACCUUGUAAGCGCGGGUCAUCAUCCCGCGCUGAAUACGUCCCUGCCCUUUGUACACACCGCCCGUCGCUCCUACCGAUUGGGUGUGCUGGUGAAGCCUCGGGAUUGUGGUUCUUGCCGCUUUAUUGUGGCGUGACCGCGAGAACUUGUCUAAACCUUAUCAUCUAGAGGAAGGUGAAGUCGUAACA